rnacentral:SRP_RNA from 1 species
GGCCGGGCCCGGUGCACGGGUUGGCCCGUGAACCUGGUCAGAGCUUGACCGCAGCAGCCAUAAGCGGCGUUGGUCCGGUGCCGCCGGUGUCCUGGUCACC